UAACGGCGAGACGUGAUCCUCCUCGAGAAGCACCAGACGAGCAGAGAAACGCGUACGGUGCACGCCGUGCACAUCACGCACGCUCGUCACCGUGAAUCCACGCUACUGAAGUUGCCUGCAGUUGCUUGCCGACAGCAAUGAUAUUCAGCAUUGUCAGGAUUCAAGAAAUGGUUAAACUGAGUGCAAGUAUUCAUUCAAGUUUUUCCGAGAUGGUGACGGAUGACUUGCGACGGAGGAACGUGACCACGGUCGUCGAUUUUAUCGCGACGGAUCCAGUUAAAUUGGCGACAUUCACUGGUCUUUCGCAUAUGGAUAUAUUGCAAGUGAAACAGCACAUAUUGGAAAAGUUUGGUGGCACAAAGAAGAAUGCAAGCGAGCUUCUUACAAUAGAGCAUAACAAUAUUAUAUCAACUAGCAUAGCAUGCUUGGACGAGUUGUUAAAGGGUGGCUUGUAUCCUGGUCAAUCGUGUGAGAUAUGUGGGCUGUCAGCUUCUGGGAAGACUCAAUUAUGCUUGACGAUAGCAGCCAAUGCCGUUGCGAAAUCAGACAUCGUUACAUGGUACUUAGAUACAAAAAGAGAUUUCUCCAGAUUACGGUUUGAGGAGAUUUUGAGAGCACGGAACUUCAGGCAAACAACCAUAGAGGAUGCAUUGCAACGUACAAAGGUCUAUCACGUACGUUCUUCCCAUCAAAUGAUACAAGCUCUCCGACACCUGGUAAGCUUCUACAAAACGGAACGGAAUUCCGUGCUUGAAAGAAAAAGACCUCUCCUUGUAAUCAUUGACUCUUUACCGGCAGUUAUCUUCAAGGUAACGCGGGACACACGCCAUAGUGAUCUGGAAACGACUUACGAGCUCGACGAUUUGGCCGAAGUGUGUCGAUUCCUCACAAGGGAAUGCCAGGCAGUAGUGAUUACAGUGAACUCGGUCACUCGGUGGGAUUCUACUAAAAAAGAUGAUCUCAGCAUCCUGACACCGGCGUUGGGAAAACACUGGGCAAGAAUACCCGUUACAAGAUUACUGUUAACGAGAGAACAUGGCGAAACUAGGAGAAUUUUCGUUUGGAAGGAUCCAAGAUUCGAGGAGAACCCAUCGUGCGUCGUAAGCGUAGGUGACGCUGGAAUCACAAUGUUCGAAACUUGGAAAAUUACCGUGAGGAAGGAUACAUAAUUCGUGGAUACUUCAUCUUAUGUAGUGAAUAUAGGCAACACCAAAAUCAUCACGUAAUAAAUCAGCUUCUUGUGCCAUAUCCAAAAGGCAUAUGAUACAUCGGGUCUCUGGAUCGGUCAGCUUCAUUGCAAAAUCUCUCUGGAUCAAAAACUUCUGGUUUCGGAUAAACCUUUGGAUCAUGAUGAAU
rnacentral:misc_RNA from 1 species